rnacentral:lncRNA from 1 species
AGAGGCUGCUAUAGGAACGACCUAACGUGUCGCAAUCUAUCAAAACAGCGGCAGACAGGCGGACACAACUGCUGCUUGAGCGUCAUCUGCGACUGCAAGAAUACUAGAAACCAUUGAGCCUUCCAAUCCCUGUGUAAGCCACUGCAUAUUUCCCUGAAGUGGCACGAAGAAGGAAGUUCUGUACCCGAGAUCUCAUCUACCAACGUUCUUCAUGUGAGUCCCGGUUGUAAGUAGAAGAUUGCAACAAAGUAUUUCAGGGUGAAAAUCAACCCUUUCCGGUUAGCAGAAA